ensembl:lncRNA
CUUCUCUUUAAUGGUGGAGAAACAGCAGCCAGGUCCUGAUUGAUGUAGCUGGGGGCCGGCAGCACCACGACUGAUCCACUCCCCGGAGCACGCCUCAGCCUGGCAUCUGCCAAAGGGCACAGGUACGCCGCCCCGUGACCUUGUCCCGCCCCUGCUUUUUUGAUCGAGGGCCAAAGAGUGACCCCGCGCAGCCUGCCAAAGAGGGCCCCUGUCUGUGGGCCCCGGGCACCAGACUCGGGGGCCCACGCUGGCUCCUGUGCUUUUUUGAGGGCUUUGGAAAGAUUAAUAGGCCUCCUCUGUGGAGCGCCUUUGUGAGGCAGCGCCCAGGCGUGUUCAAGCUGUUGGGUUUGCAGGAGACGAAAGGAGCAGCGGCUAAUUCCUCCGCAGGUGAGGGCCUUGUCACGCCUCCAAUAGUGCAGCCACCAAUAACAGUCUCCCCUGCCUUCAUCCUACACACGCACACACAACCACACGUGCGCACACACACGCACACACAGACUCUUCUGGCUUCUCCAGGUGCCAGGGUGUGAAGGGAUCAGCCAAUCCCAGCACUCCUCUGAAGCUGGAUGGUGGCCAUCGUGUUAUUAAAAAACUACGGCGCAACCCCCCAUUUUCAGCGCCGGCUUCCAGCGUCACCAUGGCAACUUCCAAUCAGCAAGGAUGGUGGAGUCUGCCGGCCGUGUGUUUGGCGCGAGGCUCUGAGAGGCGCAGGUGGAGCACAUAUGGAACAAUGGCCUGGCAAAAAAAAAAAAAAAAAAAGAAACACUCUGCCUGCCUCUAUGUGCCAGCAGUGCCCAUUUUAAUCCCACUGUUACCUUCUAGUGCUCUCUGAUGGAGACGUUCUGCUGCAAUCACAGCCUCGGACUGCUGCUGGGCCCAUGCCAGACUUCCCCUGACAAAGCCAGAGUCAGUGCGCUUUUGUAAAACAAUGUCUCCAAGAGUCGUGGAUCCACCAUCUCUCAGUCGUUUUUAGGUAACCGCUCCUCGCGUCCCUCACUGAGACGUUCCCCGACCUUGGUUGACC